rnacentral:lncRNA from 1 species
ACAACAUAGGCCUAAUACCACCUUAACCCUAAAUAUAAAAGGUGAAUGACAUCCUCUCAUAGCCUCACAUCCUCACAUUUUUUAAAAUAACGACAUCUUGUUUUUUAAAAAAUAUUUUUUUUCUAUUUUUCUAUUCUUUUUUUAUGCUUGUGUAAAUUUUCGGUUAGUUCGGUCGGAAUCGGAACCGAACCGAACUAACCGAAACCGAUUUUACUCGGUUCCAAGAUUUGUGAAGAACCGAUCGGUUCCUAUUUGUAGAGAACCGAAUUUAUGUCAAAAACUGAAGAACCGAACCGACGAACCGAACGCUCAGGCUGAGAUGCAGGUGCUGCAGUAGUUCUCGGGCAUCAACAGCGUGCUAUACUACACGUCGCAGAUCCUGGACCAGGCCGGCGUCAGCGUGCUGCUAGCGAGCCUGGGGCUGAGCGCCGACGCGGGUGCGGGGCUCUGCAUCGCCAUCUGCUCGCUCGUCUCGUGAAUACGUCGCACGAGAGAACGAGUCCGAUAGUUGAAUUGGUGUCGUGUAUAGUAUAGAAGGGCAGUAUAGGCAUUAUUAGAAAAUACAUUUAUUUGAGAUAUAAGAAAAAUGGUUAAAUGAUGCAAAUUCUCAUUAUAACUUAUGGUAAUUGAUUGGAGUCUUAUUAGGGAGAAGUAAACGAUUGGAGUCCUAUUUGAGAGAAGCUAGAAGUCUCAUAAUAGCCAUUUUCUCGCCGUAUAAGGGCUUUUUAGCUUUGUACUGUAAUAAUUUACCUUCUAGUUCUUUUGUUUGUUUUGGUCCAUAUUACGGUGUUGUCAACAGGUUGCUCAAGGAGUGACGUGUUAGAGUUGUUUUUUGAGGUCAUGUUCGAUGUUUGUAUAAAUUGAAAGGCAAUGUUUCCACCACUUACGAUACAAUGACACGUGGAGAGUUAGCACAAACAAAACAAAAAUAUGCUUGCGGAUAAUGACGGAAAUGAUAAACCGAAAUCUAUAUACUUUUGUAAAGAAAAUGGGUGGUACGGAAUAAAAUAGAUAGAAUGUAAUGGAAAAGGAGGCACAAAUGUUGGGUUACGGGAGGAUGAUGUGAUGUGUGACAAUUAAAUUGAUUGGCAAACAAACAAAAUGUGUAGUAGGCGACCGAAGAGUUGAUAAAGAAAAAUGGACUAUGUAUAUCUAAAAUUAGAAUAAAAAAACAAAAGUACACUUGGGGAAAAUAGAUGAGGCUUGACACUUUUGUUAGAAAGAGGGGGCUCUAAUGUGGAAUGAACAAAAUAGAUAAUAUGAUGAGUCGAUGGAACAUUCAUAUUUAUGGGAUAACCAUUCCUAUUUUUCAGGAAAAAAAAGUAAGAGACAUAACACAAAAACUAGAUACUUUGUUAGAAAGAGCCUGAAUACGGUCAAACAUGGUAUGGAGUAAAACGGAAAAUAAGACGUGUAACGGAUAAUCACAUAUCCAUUCCGGCCCACCCUUAUUAGUGGAUUAGCCAUUCAUACUUUCUUUUAGCAAAACUAACACUCACUAAAGUGAUUUGGUAGUUUCCAGCACUCUUUUUUUGGCCAACCGAUAAAGGCGAUAAGUAAUUAGGAAAUUUGGCUUGAGCUUUGUCAAAUUAGAAUUUAGAGAUUAAAGUUCAAGAGUAAAGUGAUUAGAUCUUACAGGAGGAGAAGACUAUAGGAUAGACUUGCUCACACAUAUAGUGGUGGUUGUAGGGAUUGUGGUGGUGGAGCAUAGCGACUUGGGGUGAAGGAUGGAGCGGUAGUGGGAGGUGGCCGUUGAUGGUGGGUAUAUGUGAUGGUUGGUGGUGAGUAGGGUAAACAAAAAAGACACGCGUGAGAGAGAACCAAAAAAGAAAAAAAAAAGAAAAAACAUAAGGUAAUCAGAAUAGCAAAUGCAUCAAAUGUUGUUGCUGCGACUAGUAGUAUGGAAUUGUAUUAGUCUAUUGUCUAGUAGAUCAGGCAGGGGCGGAUGUAUUUUUGGUGCAUGGGGGUACAACUGUGUCCACAAAAUUUGUGUCCAAAUACUAAGUAUGCACAACCAAAAUUUUCAACUUCUUCUAGUAAUGUGGGCUUCUCCUAGUGUUUUAGCAUUCAAAAUUUAAUAUAAAUUUUUCCUAGUAAAUGUCUCCUAGUAAGAAUUCCCUAGUGCUAUGACUAGUGUUAGUGUUUUGUUACUAAUUAGAAACACUAGGAGAACUCCACCAAUAUGGUAGUGAUGUAUACAUAUAAUACAUUAUAUAUAGACACCGGCGGCCC